rnacentral:rRNA from 1 species
CAGUAGCCGCGGUAACACGAGGGGGGCAAGCGUUGUUCGGAAUUAUUGGGCGUAAAGGGCGCGUAGGCGGAUUGACAAGUCAUCUGUGAAAUCUAUGGGCUCAACCCAUAGUCUGCAGGCGAAACUGUCGGGCUUGAGUAUGGGAGAGGUGAGUGGAAUUUCCGGUGUAGCGGUGAAAUGCGUAGAUAUCGGAAGGAACACCUGUGGCGAAAGCGGCUCACUGGACCAUAACUGACGCUGAGGCACGAAAGCUAGGGGAGCAAACAGGAUUAGAUACCCCGGUAGUCCCUGUCUCUUAUAC